CGAGCCGGGCGGACGGCCGCGUGGAGUCCCCUUGAGGGGGCUUCCCGAGGAACGUCCGGGCUCCACAGGGCAGGGUGAUGGCUAACGGCCACCCGGGGUGACCCGCGGGACAGUGCCACAGAAAGCAGACCGCCCGGCGCUCAGGCGCUGGGUAAGGGUGAAACGGUGGUGUAAGAGACCACCAGUGCCCAGGGCGACCUGGGCAGCUAGGUAAACCCCACCCGGAGCAAGGUCAAGAGGGGACACCCCGGUGUCCCUGCGCGGACGUUCGAGGGCUGCCCGCCCGAGUCCGCGGGUAGACCGCACGAGGCCGGUGGCAACACCGGCCCUAGAUGGAUGGCCGUCGCCGGAGGGUUCGCAAGAACCCUCCGGAACAGAACCCGGCGUACAGCCCGACUCGUCUG
rnacentral:RNase_P_RNA from 1 species